CAUGCAAGUCGAGCGGUAGCACAGAGAGCUUGCUCUCGGGUGACGAGCGGCGGACGGGUGAGUAAUGUCUGGGAAACUGCCUGAUGGAGGGGGAUAACUACUGGAAACGGUAGCUAAUACCGCAUAAUGUCGCAAGACCAAAGUGGGGGACCUUCGGGCCUCAUGCCAUCAGAUGUGCCCAGAUGGGAUUAGCUAGUAGGUGGGGUAA
rnacentral:rRNA from 1 species